rnacentral:rRNA from 1 species
UCCGGUUGAUCCUGCCGGAGGUUACUGCUAUCGGUGUUCGCCUAAGCCAUGCGAGUCAUAUGUAGCAAUACAUGGCGUACUGCUCAGUAACACGUGGAUAACCUGCCCUUGGGACCGGCAUAACCCCGGGAAACUGGGGAUAAUUCCGGAUAACGCAUAUGUGCUGGAAUGCUUUAUGCGUAAAAUGGAUUCGUCUGCCCAAGGAUGGGUCUGCGGCCUAUCAGGUAGUAGUGGGUGUAAUGUACCUACUAGCCAGCGACGGGUACGGGUUGUGAGAGCAAGAGCCCGGAGAUGGAUUCUGAGACAUGAAUCCAGGCCCUACGGGGCGCAGCAGGCGCGAAAACUUUACAAUGCGGGAAACCGUGAUAAGGGGACACCGAGUGCCAGCAUCAUAUGCUGGCUGUCCAGGUGUGUAAAAUACACCUGUUAGCAAGGGCCGGGCAAGACCGGUGCCAGCCGCCGCGGUAACACCGGCGGCCCGAGUGGUGAUCGUGAUUAUUGGGUCUAAAGGGUCCGUAGCCGGUUGGUCAGUCCUCCGGGAAAUCUGAUAGCUUAACUAUUAGGCUUUCGGGGGAUACUGCCAGACUUGGAACCGGGAGAGGUAAGAGGUAC